rnacentral:rRNA from 1 species
GACGUAGGGCGCGAGCGUUGUCCGGAUUUAUUGGGCGUAAAGAGCUCGUAGGCGGCUUGUCGCGUCUGCUGUGAAAUUUCGGGGCUCAACCCCGAACUUGCAGUGGGUACGGGCAGACUAGAGUGUGGUAGGGGAGACUGGAAUUCCUGGUGUAGCGGUGAAAUGCGCAGAUAUCAGGAGGAACACCGAUGGCGAAGGCAGGUCUCUGGGCCAUAACUGACGCUGAGAAGCGAAAGCCAGGGGAGCGAAACGGG